ACGCACGCUGGCGGCGUGCCUAAUCCAUGCAAGUAGAACGCUGAAGAGAGGAGCUUGCUCUUCUUGGAUGAGUUGCGAACGGGUGAGUAACGCGUAGGUAACCUGCCUGGUAGCGGGGGAUAACUAUUGGAAACGAUAGCUAAUACCGCAUAAAAUUGAUUAUUGCAUGAUAAUUAAUUGAAAGAUGCAACUGCAUCACUACCAGAUGGACCUGCGUUGUAUUAGCUAGUUGGUGAGGUAACGGCUCACCAAGGCGACGAUACAUAGCCGACCUGAGAGGGUGAUCGGCCACACUGGGACUGAGACACGGCCCAGACUCCUACGGGAGGCAGCAGUAGGGAAUCUUCGGCAAUGGGGGGAACCCUGACCGAGCAACGCCGCGUGAGUGAAGAAGGUUUUCGGAUCGUAAAGCUCUGUUGUAAGAGAAGAACGGGUGUGAGAGUGGAAAGUUCACACUGUGACGGUAUCUUACCAGAAAGGGACGGCUAACUACGUG
rnacentral:rRNA from 1 species